rnacentral:rRNA from 1 species
CCUACGGGAGGCUGCAGUGAGGAAUAUUGGUCAAUGGGCGAGAGCCUGAACCAGCCAAGUCGCGUGAAGGAUGACGGCCCUACGGGUUGUAAACUUCUUUUGUCAGGGAGCAAGUGAGGCCACGUGUGGGCUUAGCGAGAGUACCUGAAGAAAAAGCAGCGGCUAACUCCGUGCCAGCAGCCGCGGUAAUACGGAGGAUGAGAGCGUUAUCCGGAUUUAGUGGGUUUACAGGGUGCGUAGGCGGAAUAUCAAGUCAGCGGUAAAACUUCGGGGCUCAACCCCGUCGUGCCGUUGAAACUUAUGUUCUUGAGUGGGCGAGACGUAUGCGGAAUGCGUGGUGUAGCGGUGA